CCGAGUUUACAACUCCCAAACCCCUGUGAACAUACCUACUGUUGCCUCGGCGGAUCAGCCCGCGCUCCCGGUAAAACGGGACGGCCCGCCAGAGGACCCCUAAACUCUGUUUCUAUAUGUAACUUCUGAGUAAAACCAUAAAUAAAUCA
rnacentral:misc_RNA from 1 species